rnacentral:tRNA from 1 species
ACCUGGUUGGCUCAGUUGGUUGAGCAUCCGACUUCGGCUCAGGUCAUGAUCUUACAUUUUGUGGGUUCGAGCCCUACAUCAGGCU